GUUAACAAUCCGAUAGAGAAGUUUGAUAAUGGAGAAACCGAGAUUGCUCUAAACCGAUCUGGUCCUUUUUAUUUCAUCAGUGGUAAUAAAGAGCACUGUGCUAAGGGACAGAAGUUGAUAGUCUUUGUCCUCGCCAUCAGAAAUCAACCUAAGGUACCCAUUUCCCCUGCCAAAGCUCCGUCGACUGCUCAACCCCCGAAGUCUCAUUCCCCGGUAGUUGCUCCGGCGAAGGCUCCCUCAACCGCUCAUUCGCCUAAAUCUCAUUCCCCGGUCUCUCCGGUUGCACCGGCCAAAUCUCCGACAGCUCACUCCCCCGCUUCUCAUAUUUCUCCGGCGAAGGCUCCGUGGACUGUUCAACCUCCAAAAGCCCAUUCCCCUGUUUCUCCAACUGCACCGGCGAAAGCUCCAACAAUGGCUCAUUCGCCUAAGUCCUCUGUUUCCCCAUCCCCGCACCCUGUUGCUCACUCACCGGCUGUGUCUCCGUCCAAAGCUCCAGCAACGACCCCAGCUAAACAUUCUCCUUCGCCGUCCCCCACAAACUCUCCAAAAUCAUCCCCUGCUACUCCUCCAAAGGCCUCACCAUCUACCCCAGAGAAACCUCCCAAGUCUACUCCAGCUUCUCCAGCGCCUGAGAAGACUCCACCUUCGUCCCCAACUCCUUCUGACGACAACAUGGCGCCGGCGCCAAGUCCCAGUGCAGCAGCUGUUGUGACCGUUACUUCGGUUAUGUCUACCCUCUUCACUGUGGCUUUUACCGUUUCGAUGUUUGCUUAAGUUUUUUCUUUUAAGAAUGGUUAUGUGUGUUUGAUUUACAUUUCUUUAUUCUGUUGUUGCUGGGUUUUUAUUAUUUGUUCUGAGUGUGUCCUUGUGUUUGCAUUAUGAAUUAUUACUUCUGUUAUUAAUAUCGCCGUGUUUGUUCUAAAAGCAUUUCAUUCGACAUUUAGAUGUAGGAGUGGGCAAAAAAAAAUGAACCAAACUAAACCAAACCGACCCUACUAAAUCCAAACCAAAAUAUACAUCUACAUCAUUUGGUUUGAGAUUUUAUAAACUAAAUGGUUCAGUAUGGUUUGGCUUUAAACCAAACCAAACCGAAUUGUUUUUUUUCUAAGUAGAUUAAUUAAAUAUAUUAAUAAUACUGAAAUUUAAUAUAUUUAACAUUUAAUUUAAACUAGUAAACAUAAUUUUAUCCAUUUUACUUUUAAAUGAAUAAGAUACAUACAACUACAAAUAAAAUAAAGAAUAUAAAUUGUAUAGAUUAACAUCAAAAUUGAAAAAUUACCAUGUAUAUUAGGUUUGAAAAUAAUAAUAUAAAAUUAUUGGAUUACAUAAAUAAAUUUGGACACUAAAUCAAUAUUUUCUUCAUAUGAUGGCGUAAAUUUGGAGGAGGUGAAGGCAACAACUGAGCUCGUUUCAAAUUAUUUUAUUUUAUUACUCUUUGUUUUUAUGUUUAAAUUUUAAAAUCUAUGUUAAAAAUGUUAUCUUUCAAUAUGUUUUAUUUAAUAAAUUAAUUUUAUCUUUAAAAAAAAAUUUAUAAUUAUUUUGUUAAGAACUCUUAGUUAAGAAACUACCAUUGGAGGCACAAAAUCGAACAGUUUCUUAACUAGAAUCCUUAAACCCACUUAAAUACAUUUAAUUAAUUAAAUAAUUAUUAAAGAAACCCACUUGAGUUUCAUGGAUAAUCAUGCUCUAAAUGCCUCUCAAUCCUUUCUGUCAACGUUCAAAUCCAAUUAUGAUUUAUUACCUUAAACAAAAAUAUUCCUUACUAUUAAAGCAAGAAGUAAUCUGUCACAUUUUCAUUUCCCAUUUUUGUAAGAUUCGCCUCCAAGUCUCCUAAACUUCUAGCACUAUAUAACAAUACUCAUUCCCCAAGAACCAAAGACGCACAAAAACCUAAUCUCAGAUCUCGCCGCUUCUCUUUAACCAUGGUGGCCCUCAUGAGAAGUCUCUGUUUUUCUUUCAUCGUCUUGGCUUCUAUUGCGACCCUCUUCUCAGUUGCGGAUGCACAUAAGUUUCAGGUCGGUGGUAAAGGCGAUUGGGUCGAAAAACCACAUGAGGGUUACAAUUCUUGGGCUGAAAGUAAACGUUUCAAAGUCCAUGACACAAUCCGUAAGAUCCUUUCUAUUGCUAUUAGUUUAUAUUACGAGUUUUAUUUAUAUAUAUAUAUAUGUGAUUGUGUUUGACAAAAAAAUAUUAAAAUCUUGUGUAGACUUUAAGUAUGCCAAGGGAUCAGACUCGGUGCAAGUAGUGGCGAAAGCAGAUUACGACGCAUGCAACGUUAACAAUCCGAUAGAGAAGUUUGAUAAUGGAGAAACCGAGAUUGCUCUAAACCGAUCUGGUCCUUUUUAUUUCAUCAGUGGUAAUAAAGAGCACUGUGCUAAGGGACAGAAGUUGAUAGUCUUUGUCCUCGCCAUCAGAAAUCAACCUAAGGUACCCAUUUCCCCUGCCAAAGCUCCGUCGACUGCUCAACCCCCGAAGUCUCAUUCCCCGGUAGUUGCUCCGGCGAAGGCUCCCUCAACCGCUCAUUCGCCUAAAUCUCAUUCCCCGGUCUCUCCGGUUGCACCGGCCAAAUCUCCGACAGCUCACUCCCCCGCUUCUCAUAUUUCUCCGGCGAAGGCUCCGUGGACUGUUCAACCUCCAAAAGCCCAUUCCCCUGUUUCUCCAACUGCACCGGCGAAAGCUCCAACAAUGGCUCAUUCGCCUAAGUCCUCUGUUUCCCCAUCCCCGCACCCUGUUGCUCACUCACCGGCUGUGUCUCCGUCCAAAGCUCCAGCAACGACCCCAGCUAAACAUUCUCCUUCGCCGUCCCCCACAAACUCUCCAAAAUCAUCCCCUGCUACUCCUCCAAAGGCCUCACCAUCUACCCCAGAGAAACCUCCCAAGUCUACUCCAGCUUCUCCAGCGCCUGAGAAGACUCCACCUUCGUCCCCAACUCCUUCUGACGACAACAUGGCGCCGGCGCCAAGUCCCAGUGCAGCAGCUGUUGUGACCGUUACUUCGGUUAUGUCUACCCUCUUCACUGUGGCUUUUACCGUUUCGAUGUUUGCUUAAGUUUUUUCUUUUAAGAAUGGUUAUGUGUGUUUGAUUUACAUUUCUUUAUUCUGUUGUUGCUGGGUUUUUAUUAUUUGUUCUGAGUGUGUCCUUGUGUUUGCAUUAUGAAUUAUUACUUCUGUUAUUAAUAUCGCCGUGUUUGUUCUAAAAGCAUUUCAUUCGACAUUUAGAUGUAGGAGUGGGCAAAAAAAAAUGAACCAAACUAAACCAAACCGACCCUACUAAAUCCAAACCAAAAUAUACAUCUACAUCAUUUGGUUUGAGAUUUUAUAAACUAAAUGGUUCAGUAUGGUUUGGCUUUAAACCAAACCAAACCGAAUUGUUUUUUUUCUAAGUAGAUUAAUUAAAUAUAUUAAUAAUACUGAAAUUUAAUAUAUUUAACAUUUAAUUUAAACUAGUAAACAUAAUUUUAUCCAUUUUACUUUUAAAUGAAUAAGAUACAUACAACUACAAAUAAAAUAAAGAAUAUAAAUUGUAUAGAUUAACAUCAAAAUUGAAAAAUUACCAUGUAUAUUAGGUUUGAAAAUAAUAAUAUAAAAUUAUUGGAUUACAUAAAUAAAUUUGGACACUAAAUCAAUAUUUUCUUCAUAUGCAAAACCCAUCAAUUUCAUUUUUGUUGCAUAUGCAUAAUUGUAUAAAAUAUUUUUUUUGUUAUGAUAAUGUGAACCCCACCCCCCUUCUUUUUUUAUUUUUUAUUUCAUUUUAUUUGAAGAAAUUAAUUUUAUAGUUAUAUUUUGUAACUGAAUGAGAACAAAAUUUAAAAAUCAACUCGAUUGAACUAAACAAACACAAACAAAACCAUAUUAAACUGAAUUAAACACAAACUAAACCGAACUAAAAUCAAACUGAACCAAACUAAUUUGUGUUGACUUUGGUUAUAGUUUUUUAAACCCAAAUAAACCGAACCCAAAAACUAAACCGAACCAAAACCAAACUAAAACCAAACUAGGGGACAUGUACCUCGAUAACUUUUUUAAAACUAUUGAAACAUUCCAUAUACCAGUGUAUUCACAAUAUAUGAACAAAGUCAAUACAGAAGUUCAAAAACUAUGGGCUUUUAAUGAAAUAGCCCACAAAAAAAAGAGCAAGAAAAACGCUGUGCUUUUAAAAGAAAAACAUUUUAAAAAUCUAAAAGAAACGAAGAAGAGAGAAAAAAGGAAUCAAUCACACUGUUGGGAAAGCAGCCAAGAGAAUCGGUUUUCAAUCUCUCCGAGAAUCAAAUGGCUGCGGCGGAGGCGAUGAUCGGCUUUCCGCAGGCGUAUCUGGAGAGUAGAGAGGUGAAGGAGACAAGCUCGCUAGUAACUGAACUCUGCCGUCACUUUUACACACAGGGUUGGGUGUCCGGAACAGGAGGCAGCAUCACCAUCAAGGUCCACGAUGCUUCUAUCCCUAAACCCGACCAGCUCAUCGUCAUGUCUCCUUCAGGUUUCUCUCUCUCCCCGUGUCUGUGUUUAGUAGUGUUCUUUGUUUUGUACAUUUGAUUGAAAUGAAAAAAAAAAGGUUUAAACUUGUUGUGGUGGGUGCUGAUUCGAGUUUGUGAUGUGGUGAAGGUGUUCAAAAGGAGAGGAUGGAGCCUGAGGAUAUGUACAUCUUAUCUCCUAAUGGAUCUGUUAUAUCUGCACCCUCUCCUAAGCCUUACCCUAAUAAGCUUCCCAAGUGUACUGAUUGUGCUCCUCUUUUCAUGAAGGUAUUUCUUUUUUUUUCUGUGUAAUUAGGCAAUCUUCAUACCCUAAAAAAUAAAGAACAUCAAAAUGAUUGAAUAUGCAUGAAAACCUAGGUUGCAUGGAAACAGAAACGGAUACGUUGAAACGAAACGUUUCGAAAUGUGGAAACGUGAUUUUUGAUUUUUUAUGAUUUGGAAACAUUUUAGAAACGUCUAUAUAUAUAUAUAUAUAUAUAUAUAUAUAGUGAGGAAGCUUUAAUAUGAAACACAAGAAUGAUUUUUUCACAUUUUCAGAUAAUAGCCUAUCCUAAAGCAACAGCAGUGUUGGUACGCAAUCAUGGAGUUUACAUUUGGGGUGAUUCCUGGAUCCAUGCUAAGACUCAGGUUUCUGAAAGCCACUUCUGUUUUGUUAUGUUUCAUUCAAAUACAUUUGCUAUAUAAAAACUUGUAUGCUUGCUUGUUUCCAGGCUGAAUGUUACCAUUAUUUGUUUGAUGCUGCCAUCAAGCUUCAUCAACUGGGUCUGGAUGCUGCUACUCCAGAACACGGGCCUAUCGAAAGAGCCAUACACUCACAAAACCAAACAGAAUCAACUCGGGUAUAAAGCCUAUGGUUUCUAUCGUCUUACAUGUUACAUCCAAUAGUCAAGGAUUCACAAAAAUCUAGUUUUAGUUAUAUUCUUUUUUUGGUUGCACAGAGAUGCAUUGUCCUAGAUAUUGAAGGGACAACAACACCCAUAACAUUCGUCACGGAUGUUCUCUUUACCUAUGCUCGUGAAAACGUUGGGAAGCAUUUGAGUUUGACGUACGACACAGCAGAAACUCAAGAGGAUAUUAAGUUGCUGCGGUCUCAGGUAAUAACGAAUUUUCUUUAUUGUCUUAUCAUCUCUUGUAAUAAACAAGUGACCAAAGUUCAUCUCUGGUAUAUAUGUUGCAGGUUGAGGAAGACUUGAGACAAGGUGUAACCGGCGCUGUUCCCGUACCUCAUACUGGUGAAGGAAAAGACGAGGUCAUUGCAGCUAUCGUCUCUAAUGUGGAGGCAAUGAUAAAAGCCGAUAGAAAGAUCACUGCUUUAAAGGAAUUACAAGUGAGGAAACAAAAAAACAAGAUUCCAACUUUUUAUGUUCUGUUUUGUUGAUUUUUGUAAUGUCUGAUAUGGAGUUUCUGUAUUGAAGGGUCACAUAUGGCGAACAGGUUUCAAAUGUAAUGAACUGAAGUCUGUCGUUUUCGAAGAUAUAGCAGACGCUUUAGAGAAAUGGCAUUCUUCAGGAACUAAGGUAUGUUCAUGUAAAGCUUUUAGGAGAAAUGUCGUUUUUAUUUAUUUUUGUUCACAGGUCUAACGUGGUGUUGUGAAUAGGUUUACAUAUAUUCUAGUGGUAGUAGAUUAGCGCAAAGGCUUCUCUUUGGGAACACAACCUAUGGAGAUCUGAGGAAGUAUUUAUCUGGCUUUUUCGACACUACAAUCGGGUAUAUAAAAAGAGUCCAUCACUUCCAUUUUCAAUAGAAGAUGAUGAUCCAAAGUCUCAAACGUUUCUUGGCUGCAGAAACAAGAAAGAGAGCAGGAGUUACAAGGAGAUUACAGAAACUCUUGGAGUGGAUGAUCCUUCAGAGAUUCUUUUUGUGACAGAUGUUUAUCAAGAAGCUACUGCUGCAAAAGCCGCAGGUAAUAAACACAUGCACAAAACUCUUACCUCUAGAUAAUAUUUUACCUGUGGAACUGGUUAGAGAUUCUGAUGACCUUUUGCGGUUGUGAAAAGGUCUGGAGGCGAUUAUAUCGAUUCGACCUGGAAACGCUUCCCUACCAGAGAAUCACGGGUUCAAGACUGUCACAUCAUUCUCACAAAUUUAGAGAUUCCUCUAUGUGUUGUUUCCUAUUGGUGUUGUACUUGAUAUGAUCACACUUACCAAAUAAAUAGCUUGAUAAUAAAUCUAUAUGUAGAGAGCUUGACAAAGCUCGACUCUGAUUUAUCAGUGAAUUCAGUAAAGUUUGGUUCUUGCAUGUGAGUUAUGAAGUGGGCAAAACGUAACUACUGGGGCCAAAUCUAUUACUAAAAUAUAUUUUAUAUUUUCAAAUAAUAGAAAAGAUAGAACAAAUCUAUACAUAACAUUUAGGAUAACAAGAAUAUAAUUCUGGAAGGUCCAUUUAGGAUAAACAAAACUAUUAAUUUACAUUUUAAAUUAUGAUAGAAUGUGCAUAUUAUUAGGUAUAUAAUACAUAUCAUUUUCAAAAAAUGGCUAUAUUUUAUGUGUUAGUACAUUAGAACAUUACUAGCAUAUCCAAAUAGAAUCCCUUGUACAUUAAUUGAGGAUCAUUAAAAGUUGUAACCUUAAAUUUGUACCAAUUAAAAAGAGAUCAUGUUUAGGUGUCGCUUAAUUAGUAUGACAAUUUAGCUUACGUGGCAGUUUAAGAAUUAAUUAAAAAAAAUGUUGAUCCAAAUCUAAUUACUAUGGAACAUUAUAUUAACCUAAAAUAUAAGAAGCGUGUAUUCUUUUCUUAAAUAAAAGCUACAAAAUUACAUAAUAUGAUUAACAUAUAUAUGACAAUAAAUGACUAUGAAUAAUACAUAUUUGAUAACAAUUUUUGCAUCUUUCUUCAUUUUUGUUUAAUUUUAUACUAUUAAAAAAAUUGAACAAUCACAUUAACCAUAUAAUAAAAAAUUAGAUGUUUUUUUAUAUGUUAUAUUUUGAAUUUUUUAAAAUGACUUUAAAUUACAAAAAUGAGGAAACCUUAUAUGUUAUAUUUUUUUAUAUGUUAUAUUUUGAAUUUUUUAAAACGACUUCAAAUUACAAAAAAAUGUAAGUUUUCCUUAAGCAUACGACUAAAAGCAUUAAAAUGACAUGUAUCAAUUCGAUGAUUGAUCUGAAACCUUUCAAAACCAAAUGAAAGAUAAAUUUCAAAAUAAUUCAACUAUGGAAACAAUACUAUUCACUUUUUUCAAAAAUGUGUUUGGUGGAAAAAAAUAAGGUUUUUGUGUCAUAAUUUGUUUAAUGUCCAAUCCGAUCAACCCAUGAUAUAUUAAUUAUAGUUUAGUUCUAUAAUUUUUAAUAAAAAUUGAUCCGGUCCAUCGAAAAAUAUAUAUAAUAACAACAAAAACAUUGUAUAUGUAUAAAUAAAAUGAUCAAAUAUAUAAAUUAAAUUGUCGAUAAUAUAUAUAAAUAAACUCAUCCCGUACAAAGCGCAAGUCUUAUCCUACUUACAAGUUAUACUUUUAAAAUCUAUGUUUUCAAAAACUGAGUGUGUCAGUUUAUGUUUAGCGGAGAUGAUUUGAGUGAAAUACCUUAGUAUACCUGCUGCAACUGGUUGCCACUAUCCAACUUCAGUGAAAGAAGCUAAUCAGAGAGAGAGACUAGAAAAAAGUAUGAGAGAUCUCUAAAACCAUAAAACCAUUAAACGGGCAUUUGAUUAUUUGGGAAUCAAUCACUACCCCACACAUCACACGCGAGGAACUGAGUGACAAAACUCACAGAUUCUGCAGAGAUGCUUUAGCUAAUGCAACCGUUAUCACAAGAUUCAUAAGUUAAAACAAAGUUCAAAAUUGUCGCGGGUAACAAUUAGAUAUAGUUCAAAAAUAAUAUAGCUCUGAGACUUAUGAGGAAGUAUAGGCUAUAGCAAAAAUUUCUCCAAAGGGCAUACACAUUAUAAUCUCACAGAGAACAUAUAACAAGACUCAUUACAAAACUGGUUGACUAUACAUGGGCGGAUGUAGAAAGAAAUUUGAGAGGUGGAAAAUUAUAGAUAAAUAUGAUAAAAAGAAAUAAAAAUUUCAUGGGGGUAAGUGCCACAUUCUUGAGGUGGAACUAUAUCUUGACAAUUUGUUUAAGUAGAUAGUUUUUAAAAUCAAAAGGGACACUAACUUCAUAACGGUCUUUUGCAAUGUCUUUCCUUUGUCUAACAUUUUUUUGUUGUUGAUAAAGACUUUGACAAAAGAAAAACAAAUGUAAUGAGUAAUAGUUGACUAGUAUUUUUAUAUGGAUAUAUAAAACUGGAUAAAGAAACUAUAAGCCAAAAAGAAUAUAUUAGCGUUGUUUGGUUAUACAUUAAAAGAAGAGAUAAACUGUUAUAUGAGGGAUUAGUUAUGUAGAACUUUGAUAACAACUUGGUUUUAAUUUGCGGUGAUAAUAUUAAAAUUAAGAUUUAAGUUGUUUGGUCGCAUAUCUAAAGUUGUAUAUCCAAAUAUCGUAAUUUUCAGAUAAUGUAAGUUGAAAAGGGUAGCACAUUCAAAGUGGAGUUGCUUGUAACGUGAAGCAAAGAUGAUUCAUUCGCCUUUUGCUUGGUUUUCAACUCUAAUCAUAACGGACUACUUAUUUUGUCUUUUACUUUCUUUUACUCUUUUUCUCCACCUUUUAUUUAAUUUAAAUUUAUUUACAUUCAAAAAAUUAUUUUCCUUCCAAGACAAAAGACAAAGCAAUAGAAGAACAGUAUUAACAUAUAGCUAUUUUUUUAUUCAAGAAAAAUUUGAAAAAACUAUAGACAGAAGAGGAGAAAGUCCAAAGAAUAUGUAGUAAAAGACCAAACGUGCCUCCAUGAUUACUCCAUCAAAUUCAAAGUCAUCACCACCAAAAUGGUCUUCUAUACUAACCUGAUCAUAGAAGUCUUUAUUUCAUAUUGUCUCUCCGAAACUUUCUACUAUAUAUUAGGAGUAUUAGAUAUUACAAUAUUUUCAUAUUACUCGCCAAACUUCCGAUGGAUAUUUACUUAUAUAGACAAAGACCAUUCAUUCUACUCAUGUUUUCUAAUCGUAACCAUCUAAACUUUGAUAUUGUUUUUAUUUGUUGCUGAAAUUUUGACAAAACAGUUUUGUAAGAAUAUUAUUGUCUAUAUCAUAAAGUUGAGCAUAAACAUGAAUCUAUUCGAUCUCGAUACUGAGUGACACACGUUGAAUUACACAUCAUAUAUCAGUAUGAUCACAAUAUAUAAAGGAUCUUUUGUUUAAAAAAAAGAACAAGUCUUAAAUCAGUAUCAUGAUUCAUGAAUAUAUCUUACCUUCCAAUCACAAAUUGCACCGAGUUACUGAGAUUAAUAGUGAGCAUAUAACCGCAUAAACUUUACAGUCGCUCCAUUACUAAUAACUUACAUCUUAGUUAUAUAUAGGUAAACAAAAUCCGAUAAUAUAUUAAUUUAUUAUAGAAUGUGAACACACGUUGGUCAUCGUCAAGAUUUAUGGAUUCCUGGGAGAAGUAACCGGAAAAAGAGGAAGAAGCAGUGGCUGAGAGUCUCUAGGAGUUGAAACUGGAGAAGGGUGAAGAUAAAAUCCUUUUUCAGCAAUGGCUUUGUCUUCUUCAGAUGAACUCCCUAAAGACAAAGGCGAUGACUUGUUGAAGGGGUCAUCGUUGCUUCUCAGUGGCGUAACGGGACUGUUUAGCCCUAGCUUUGGGAAAUCUAGCAUGCUUGGAGACAGAAGAACAUUCUCUGAUGAGCUGUUCCUUGGAGAGAAUCUUGGGCUUUGACCAUUGUGUCCGCUCGAGAACAUCAACCUCUGGGAGUUUUGAAGCCUUAAAGUAUUGAUCAUUAAAUUAUUCUUACCAAACAUGUUGUUAUUGUUUUGUCUUCUUUCGUAGAGUUUAAAACUGUUGGUUUUCUUGAUGGGUGGGAUUGAGAAACCUACUUUGUUGUUGUUCACCGGAGAAGGAGCUUUGUGGUGGUUUUCAGUUUUGGUAUCGGUGGAGGAGCCGGUCAGCAUCUGCACAACUUGUUUGAAAGUGGAAGUGUCUGCUUGAACAAAUGUUGUUGGGUAAGGGUUUGAGAGAUGUUGAUGUUGGUCAUGAUGAUGAUGACGAGGAGAUCUUGUCUGAGGCUGAAACCUAGGAGAUGUGAUUAUGGGAGGGUAGUUUUGCAUGAUUUGUUCUGGUUUUGAACAGAUGGAUGAUGUUGAUGAGACCUCCAUUAAUGUUAACCCUUUGUGUGUAUAUGAGGGGGUGGGGAGAGGAGAGAAGAGAAGAUUGAUUGAUUGAAAGACAAUAAGAAGAAGAGUGGAAGUUGCCGAUGUGAAUAAUGUGUAAUGUUGUUUGGUUUUGUCGUGCGACGACAAUUAAAAAGACUUUAAGGUGAGGUGUCAUGGACCCCUCUCUCUCUCUCUCUCUCUCUCUCUCUCUCUCUCUCUCUCUCUCUCUCUCUCUCUCUCUCUCUUAAAACUUUCCGUAUUUCUUUCUGUGAAAUUAAAUUUUCUUUUUUUUGUUAAAAAAAACAAAUUCUUUUAGAGCAUGGCAUUCUAUAUAAUGGGGGUUUUUUCUUUUGUUUUUCGGUAAAAUAUUACAAGUGGACCUGAUUUUAGUUCAAUUGGCAUUGUUAUUUUUGUGUGUGUUUACCUAAACAAAAUAUAAAAAUUAAUGUUAUAUAUUAAUAGUAAUAACUUAUAUAAACUAAAAAUACAAAAACAAGAUAAUUAAUAAACUAAAAAUAGAUAGUCAAAUUCAAAAUAAUAAUCUUGUAACCAAAAAACUUAUUAUAACACAUAAUUAUGAUCUCAUAUUCUGAUAGAUUGUUUCCAGAUUCAUCAAAAUUAUUAAAAUACUAUCCAAAUGAAUUAUAUGAAAAAGAAAUUGUUGAUUCAUUAUUUUCUUUAAGAUUUGAGUUUGUUUCUCUUAAAUGUUCAGAUGUUUGGUGUUUGGUUUUCUAUGAAAUUUAGGUUUUGAAGUAACAUUGGAUUUUAUUCGUUGAACUCUUUCAAUGUAUAAUAUUUAUUUUGCAUCUUCAAAUGGUGUUGUCUUUUAGUGAUAUUAUGAUAGUAGUAUCUUAUGUUACAAAAAAAUAAAAGUAGAGUUUUAACAUUUUGUAAGUUAUAAUUAAUAAUAAAUUAGUGAAUAAUUAAAAAGUAACAGUUGAUUAUUUUAAGGACUUAUUUGGUACUACUUCACUUUCAGAUUUUGAAAGUUUUUUGAAAAAGAUCCCAUCUUCUAUUAUUCAGCAAAUGAAAAUCAAAUUGACAACGGAGGAAGAAGUAAAACAAACUUUGUUUAUGAUGUACCCGGAUAAAGUUCUUUGCCCGGAUGUAAUUACAUUACGUAUUAGAUUGCAAGCUUUUUAAUUUACGUUUUGUAGUUUCUAUUAUAUUGAGGAUUAAUUUUUUUUAUAUUUCCGCUUGUAUUAUAUUCUCAAACAACAUGUAAAUAGAUACGUUACAAAGGGAACUAAAUUGAAAUAUAACCUUUAUGAGCUCGAAUAUGUUCUCGUUUUAUGAAUUCCAACAACAUUUACACAAAUUAGUGUGAACACAUGAGGAAACAAGUUAAAAACGGUGAUCGUAUCAAAUUCGUUUUAUUUUUGAUUACUUUGUUGUCAACAAAUAUUAAGAAGACAGAAAAUAGAGGAAAAAAAAAAGAUAAGAGUAAGAAUUGUGGGGACUCGAAUUUCCAUUGGUGAAAAUUGUCGUCCCUCCAUGAAGAAUCAAAUUCUUUCAAACUUCAAAUCAUUAGUGUUUUCCAGAAUCCAGUGAUUAAAGAUUUCCUUAAUUGCACACAAAUGUGCAAAGCGAAGCAUAUAUCGAUCUUAUUAUUUAAAACAUCAAGGAAUUCGAAGUCUUCUUUUUUUUUUUCGGUCAAAAGGAAUUCGAAGUCUUCUUGAACUCUAUUGUUGGUAGAUAAAUACCACAAUGAAUCAAUGAUCAGAGUGCACAAAAAGUAGGGUCGGCCCAAACAUUCCGAAAUUUCUUUAUGGCUCUAAAUCAAUGUAGCAAAAUAUAUAACCAAUGAAAACAUAUAAUGGACAUUUUAACAUAAUUUUAUACGUUCUAAUCAGUCGUUUAUUUGACUUUAUGCUAUUGCUAGCACCGAUUAGAAGAUAUAUUUUUUGACCCUAAUUACUUAUAUGUAAUGUACAUACAGGUGUAGUGUGUAUGUAUAACGGAAUAUAACAAAGCUAAUUUCUUCUUCUGUUUUUUUUUCACUGAAAAUUUAAGAUGAUGAAUUCCACCACAAAGAAAAUAAAACUGAGUCGCAAUACUUAGAAGUUUAAAUAAAAAAUAAAUAAGCUAAACUCCAUGUGUUCAAUAUACGUUCAUCACAUAUUUUUAUUACAUAUAUAAAUAUCAAAUAACUGCAAGGCUACAUAUUAAUCAAAAGAUAAGAGUCAACAACCCUUGGAUAGAUAUUGUAUAUACUUAGAAAAUCCAGAAAAGAUUUUGCCUAAAUGGCUUCGUUUGAAAUCCUUAGGCUUUAGAUAGAUAAACCUAUCUAAUUAUUAGUAGUAGUAGUAGUAGUAUGGUAGGAAUAAAAUAAAUAAAUUAUUAUUAGGAACGUGCUUUCUCAUUUGUUCAAUCCCGUCUUUUCCUUAAUGGCCUCAGUGGCACCCUGUGCUUUCUGCUUCAGCUGCUGUCCACCCUGUGCUCCAAUUCUCAUAAAUACGUGAUUGUUUCAUAAAAAUAUAUUUAAGCAUGAGAAAAGAAAAUGGACCUCUGACAAAGAUUCCUUGGCGGAUUGGGCAGCAUUGGAGGCCUUGUCCAUCAGGUUGCUUGCCUUCUCCUACAACAAUUUUUAGUUACUUCUAAUUAAUAUUAAUUAUUAAUCUAAAAACAAUAUUUGUUUAAGCUUAGAUAAACGGUGUUGUAUAGACAAAACCUGGGUUUGGCCUUUAGCUUGGCCAGCGUUGAAGCUCAGGUUCUGACUGUUGUUAGACAUUUUCUUAUCUCCGCUUAAAAAACGAAAUUAUAAUUUGCAAGGGAAACUUGUGACUUCUGAGAAAGAGCAUUACGCAUAGAGGUUUAUAUACAUGUGGGGUCCUCCUGUCGUUACCUCCACGUGGAUUUUUGUUAUUGGAAGUCUGUGUAGUCUUUAACACGUGGCUUUUAAGCUUAGUACUCUCCGGUCGGAUUGGGGGGAGGGAGGUGUUGACCACGAGACAAGCAAAUCUGUUAUAGACUUGUUCCAAAUUCCAAUGUACUUAAUAUAGUCUAAUAUAGUUCUGUUUAUAACCCUUUUUGUGUAGUGCAUUAUCAUUUUAUUUUUGUAUUACAUAUUAAAGGGACACAUAAACAAUUGUAUAAUAGAUAUAACCAAUACUCCAUCAAUGGUCUGCCUCAACACUAAAUAAGAUUCAAAACUUUGAGAAAAUAAUACCAAAAUAGAUAUUAUCCUUCAUUUAUUCGUUAAAGCUAAGAACUCAUGUAUACAACAACAAAAGAUGCUAAGUACCUUUGAGAUAGUCUACUAAUAUCAGUAGAUGGUAAAUAAUAUCUCAUCCAAAGAUUGGAAAAGCAUCAGGUUUUCACGUUCUGAAUGUAAGCUCAUGAAAAAGGAGCUUGUUCGUGCUUGACAUAACAUGGAGUAGAAGGAGUGCUGAAGAUGUUCGUGUUAUAUCUGAGGAAUGACAGUAUUGAAGACCCACGACGGGUAUGAACAAGCAAAUUCAUGUCCAUAAAUUUGCGGGUCUCGCGGGUGAGACCAUGCGGCUUGCGGGUGGGUGGAUAGAGUCCGUGAUCGGUCCGCAGGUCAGCCGAUUGUCCGCAUAAAAUAAAUCAAUAUAAUUUUCAGUCGGCUUCAUUCGGUGGAUCUUAUUGAUUCCAAUUCGGAAUCAGUCACCAUGUUUUUUUUUCAAUUUGAACUUCUGCAUGUUAUCUCUUGAGUAGGUAGAAGGGUGAAGUGUUUGCAUGUUCUUCAAUGGAGGAAGCAGAUGGAGAGGUCAUUGCUUCCGCAGAGAUUAUUGCCUCUUCUCGCUCUCAUCGCUGGUUGCAGUGAGGCUGCCACGACCGAAGGCCCUGUUGAAGCGUACCCAGCCCUAAUUUUAAAUGCGGUCAAUAUACUGUUUAAGUAAAAAAAAAAUGUAAAAGGGGUCAAGAUGGAUUCAAACCUGGAUUUUUUGGGUUUGUUUGGAAGGUGUUAGUGGAAAAUAAAUUUUUAAUGAUUUAAUUUUAUGCAGUCUUGUGUUAUUGGUUUAUAGAUUUUCACAUUCUCGCUAAAAUCUAUUGUUAUUAUGAUAGAUUCUAUAAUUCUAUACAAAAUUUUGUUAUUUAAAAAGUUUAGAUUUUAAUGAUUUAUAAAUCUAUUAAAGUUAGUGUUAUUGGAAGUUUUUAUUCUUAACCAUUUAACUUAUGUAACAAUAUUUGAAGAAUACUACAUAUAUCCAACUUUACCGCAUGCUUUCCUUCACAGUUCCUUGUCCAUCUUUCUAAGUUAAUUAUUAAAUAAAAACAAAACAUCAAUUAGUAUAUGCCUAUCAUCACUAUUAAACACGAAAUCAAGCGCAAAAUUCAAAAUAUAAGCAAAAUUUAACCAAAUUCAGAGAUAAACUUGAGAAAAUAAAACAAAAUAUAAAACAAAAAAAUAUUAUAAACAAAAUUAAAUAGUUGUAGAGGAAAAACUGCAUUCCUGAUAAAAUAACUAAGAAUUGUGGGUUGAUCUGAAAUCAUAGUAAAAUAUUCUAAUGAUAACGUUGAGGAAUGCAGUUUUUCUUCUACAACUAUCUAAUUUUGUUUAUGAGGAGGUAGAAAAUCUGGUCUACAACUACCUCCUCACCCAGUCUUUUUUUGUAAGACUUUCCCAAAAUGAAUCGGAGGAGUCAUAUGAGUCCACCAGGCCCAUACUAGUACUUGCUCCCCCAUCGCUAGCACUUUGCAGAUUACAGAAUGAGUCCGCCGGGCUAGUGUAUUCAACCUUGCAAACGACGUAACUCCUCUGCAAAAUCAAUCCACAAAUGACAAAACAAAGUUACAAAAAUAUGAUUUUUAAUUUUUUUUUAACGGACAAGAAAAGAGAGGAGCGCACCAUUUCUUCCGGAAAGGAGAGGUCGGAGAACUUAUGCAUGAUCCACUCGGUUCACUUUCCAUGUGGACUCUUCCCUGUCAAGAAAACCAAAGUCUUCUUAAGACCGAUUUGACAAUGACUGCCCGAUUCUAAAAGGGCAAGAAAACAGAGCAUCGCUUUAUUUAUAAUCUGAUUACUCUCCUCAAAUUGUAUUGCUUCUUUUUGAAGUUAUAUAUCAUACCAUCUUUUGCAUGGUUGAAUACUUGAAUUAACAAUGUUUACUUUAUGAUAAAUUACGUACUAUUUUUUUAAUUUAAAAUAGAUGAAUAUAAUUACACAUGUCUUUGAUGUGUUUGUUUGAAUUUUAGGUUUGAAAUUUUUUCAGUUCUUCUAUGUUCAUCAUUCCUAUUUAAUAUAAAAUCAAUAAAAGAGUUAAAUAUAAAAAUUUUAAAACUAUAAGAAAACUAAAAGCAAAAAAUAUAUAUAAUCUUGAAAAAUAAAACAAAACAAAAGGAAAAUAAAAUAGAUAUGUUAAAAUGAAUUUGGAUAACUUGAAUAUAAAAACUAAUAUAAUGGUAAAAUAACAAAGAAUUAUGAGUCAAAAUGUUGAUAACUAUAAAAUAUCAUCGAAGCAUCAGAAUGUUAUUACAAUUAUACUUUUAACCAUUAUAUUAAAAACGAUUUUUAGAAAUUAGAAACUCCAAAAUUCAUUUAUCUGGAGUUUAAGGAAAAUAUUUCUUAUUAAAACAAAAGUCGUGAUUUAUUCAAUGUAUGAUUUUUAGACCAUAUUUUUGAAAGUCAUGAUUUUAAAUGGGGUUAUCAUUAAUUUUCAUAAUAAUUAAACUUAAGAGCUUCAUUAACUAAACAUCUAUUACAUUCGACCAAAAUAUUUUUCGUUGCUCUAAUCCACGACCAAAAAAUCAAUCUUUCUGAUUUUCCGGCUUAUAUUUUUAAAACCAUAUAACUUUCAGUUUAAUUUAUUAUACAUGAAUCUAUAUUAUAUCAAAUUCAACCUGUUUAUGAUUAUGAAACCAUUAUAAACCCUAUUCAAUCACGAAUAAUAUAGAUCAUAUUCAACAUUGAUAUAACAAUGGAACCAGUUUAUUUUCAGUGGCGUUUUAUAUUUGUGAAUCCGAUCAAUAUAUAUAUAUAUAUAUAUAUACGACAAGUUUAUUUAAACUACUUGACUAAGUUUAUACACAGUCUACUAAUCCAAUUUUUAAAAUAUAGUAAAUAUGUAGUAUAGAUAUGGUUGGAACUCUACAUCAUAACUUCAAAACUUCGAACAAUUUUUUUCUUUUUGAUAUAUAAUUUGUCUUAAAAAAUCUUCACAAAAGGUAGAAUCAAUUGAUAUUGUGUUGGUAAGAUUGAAAAUUUAGAAAUAUAUUGUGGUAUCAAAGGGAAGUCCCCAAACUGAAACCUCAUAAAUUUGGGAUUCUUCUUAUUCUUUUUGAGAUCCAAGGCAGCCAUGUAUGUAGGCACAUCCUGUAGUGAGGAGGUAGAAAACUGGUCUUUCCGAGGAUAAAUGAUGCUAGAGUUGAUUUCGCAGGAGAAAUAAAUGUUGAUAAUCGUCCAGUUUGAAUCUCGAUUAGGCAUACAGUAACAAAGUUUGGAUCCAAAAAAGGUGAAACUCACUAUAUAAUCAUCGUCUUUGUUGGGAAGAUAAGUGGACAAGGAAACAUUUCCGACUAUUUCGGCAUGCAGAACAAGGUGACCAGUAAAUGGAGGCAGGGUAAUGGUUUUGGGAGAUGACUCUAAAGACCAAGGAUUAAGGACUUGGGUGAGAUGUAUGGUGAAAUCAGGGUGUCUCAUGAAAACUGCCCAGCAACGUGAGGUUCCAAGCAGUUUGCAUCCGUCCAACAAUACUUUUGGGAAUUUCUUGCCAGUAAUAUUGAUGAAUUUUUCACUUCUUGGAUUAAAUACCCAAUAAUCUGUAAAGAUUCGUGUUCUUGAAAACUAAGGUUACCUAGCAAUUCAGUGGCGGAUCUAGAAAAUAUUUUGAGUGGAGACAAAAAAUAAUAAAUUAAUUAAUAUAUUUUUAAUAAAAUAUAUAUGUAUAUAUUUUUUAUAUUUGAUAAUGUUAUAUAAAUUUUAUAUAUUUCAAAAGAAGAAAAUAAACUAAUAAAAUGAUACCAAAAAAAUAUAUUAAAGGAAGAGAAAUGAUUUAUCAAGCUACCAAAACUAUUUGGUAAAAAAUUACUAAAUACAAAAUUGAUUUUGAAUUGAAAAGAACCAAAGAACCAAUGAAUUAAAAAAAACUAUAAGAAUGCAACGUAAGAAAAAUUAAUAAUAAUAUGAUAGCUGGCCCAAAGAAUCAAAAAAAUAAAUUAAAAACAGUAAAACCGAUGAACAAAAAAACUAAAAGAAAGCAAGGUGAGGAAAAAGAGAAUAUAUAUACUAUUAUUUAUGAAGUGAUUUUGCUGAUUUGUCACAUUCUUCAUGAUUUUAGAUAAUUUUUGCUUAUUUGUCAUAUUCUUAUUAUUUUUAACUUAAAUAUUUAAUUUAUUAACUGAAAUAAUAUAACUAUUUCGAAAUUUCUAAUUAAUUUAUUAAUUUAAAUAAUAUAACUAUGAUUUUUCUGAUUUGUCACAUUCUCCAUGAUUUUAUCUAAUUUUGUUUAUUUGUCAUAUUCUUAUUAGUUUUAGUUUAAUUAAUUAAUUUAUUAAUUUAAAUAAUAUAACUAUUUUCAAAAUUUCUAAUUAAUUAAUUAAUUUAAAUAAUAUAACUAUUUCAAAAUUUCUAACUGGAACUGUAAUUAUAAUAUUUUAACUUUCAAAAGUUUCUUAUUAUUCUUAAGCUUUAUGAAGUGAUUUUCCUGAUUUGUCACAUUAUCCAUGAUUUAGAUAAUUUUUGCUUAUUUGUCAUAUUCUUAUUAUUUUUAAAUUAAAUAUUUAAUUGAUUAACUGAAAUAAUAUAACUAUUUCGAAAUUUCUAAUUAAUUUAUUAAUCUAUCUAUAUUAUUAUUUAUGAAGUGAUUUAGCUUAUUUGUCAUUAUUUCCAUGAUUUUAAGUAAUUUUGCUUAUUUGUCAUGUUUUAAUUAUGUUUAAGCUGAGUUAUUAAUUUAUUAAUAGUUUUAAUUGAGUCCAUAAUUUAUUAAUUUAAAUAAUAUAACUAUAAAAUAUGUAAUUAAAUAUAUAAUUAUUUUGAUUUUGCUUAUUUUGCUUAUUUGUCAUGUAUAAAUGAUAAUAAAUAAUUUAAUAACAUUUAAUGACUUUUAGUGAUAAAACCCCUCAACUAAAGAUGAAUCGUAAAAAAAAACCCUCAACUAAAAAUCCAGUGAAAUAAACCCUCAAUUUAUAAACCGUUAACAUAUGUCACCCUCCGUCACGGUUUUUUAGACGGAGGGUAACAUAUUAUAUUUAAAAGUUAAGAGAAUUCUUAUAUAUAUUGUGUUGCUAUUUGAAAACAAUAUUUUUAUUAUAAAUUUAAAAAAUUAAGAUAUAAAAUAAUUUAUAAUUAAAUAUUAGUCAAACAAAAAUAUUUAUAUAAAUAUAUUUUAUAAACUAUUUCUAAUAUAUGAGUGUUUAAAACUUUUAACACAAUGAUAAGUACAUAGUUUGAUGAAUGUUUUUUUGAUAUAUAUAAAUAAUUUCAUGUUUGAUUUAACUAUUUAAAAUUAUAAAUAAUAAUUUAACUUGUGACUGAGUUUAAAACAAAUUUUCUUGCUUUUACUUUAAACCAGUUUAAGUUUAAUCCCUAAAAUAAUAUAGCUUUAGUUGGUGUCCACUAGAGAAUGAAUAAAAUAAAAAAUAAAAUUUCAUUUGAGGAAUUGAAACAAUAAAAAAAUAUGAAUUUUUGUUCAACUUUUUCCUUAUCAAAAUUGCUUACAGAAAUUUUUUCUUGUAAAUUUUUCCUCCAUGGAGAAUUUAAAAGAAAAAAGUGGGAUCUACUUUUCAAUAAUUUGACUAAAAUUUCAACAUAACUGGUAUAAAUUUUGAGUAAUAAAGAAAUAAAAUAAUAAAUAUUCGUAAGAUGAUUAUGCCCGCAUGUACGGGUAAAACAGUUAGUAAUAAGUAAUCAAAAAGGAAAAUUAGAAAAAAUAAUAAAAUCGGGUAAAACGUUUUGACGGGGAUUUGAUCGGUGGUUUAGUGGGUGCAUAAUGAGGGAUGGGACAAAUUUUGGUUUCACUAUUAUUUGUGCAAAUAAAAUAGAUGAAUAGAAUUACACAUAUCUUACAUGUGUUUGUUUGAAUUUUACGUUUAAAGUAUUUUCAGUUCGUCUAUGUUUAUCAUUACUACUAGGUAUUAUGUCCGCACAUGCGGGCAUAGUGUUUUUAAAGAUAUUUAUUAGUUUAUAAUUAUUAAAUCAAAAACCAGUAUAAUAAAUUAUUAAUUAUGUUUUAAAAAAUAGAUCAAUCAUUAAAAUUUAUACUUUAUAAUAAAAGAAUAUUAUUUUAGAUAUAUAUUUAAGAAUUAUCUUAUGUUUUAUUGAAAUUCAUUUUUAAUUAUUUAUAUUUUAGAUAAUUUUGAUUAUUAUUAAUUUUAAUCAUUUAUUUAAUCAGAUAGGAUUAAAAUUCGUUUUUAUUUUUGACUAAUUUAUAUAAUUGAUUCAUUAAGGGUAUAAACGAUAUUAACCGCUCUAGCUUUUAACGUGAAAGCUCGAUUCCAAAAAUUUACUUCGUAAAUAAUAGUAUAGAUUAAAUAUAAAAUCAAUAAAAUAAUUAAAUAUUAAAAAAAUAAAAAGAAAAAAAAAUUGAAGAUAUAGUAAAACAAAACAAAAGUAAAAUAAAAUAGAUAUGUUAAAACGAAUUUGGAUAAUAGGAAAAUAAAAACUUGUAUAAUGGUAAAAUAACCAAGAAUUGUGGAUUAAAAUGUUGAUAACUAUAAAAUAUAGUAAAAGCGUUAGAAUAUUAUUUCGGUUAGACUUUAAUCAUUAUAUUAAUAAUUUUUAGAAAUUAAAAACUUCAAAAUUCAUAUUUAGGAAAUAUAUCUUAUUGAAAAAAAAUUCGUGAUUUAUUUCAUAUAUGAUUUUUUGGAUCAUCUUUAGAAAGUCAUGAUUUUAAAUGGGUUUAUCAUUAAUUAUCAUAAUAAUUAAAAUUUAGAGCUUCACUAAUUACCAUCUACUACAUUCUACCAAAAAAAAUUUCGUUGAAAUAAUCAACAACCAAAAAACCAAUCUUUAUAAUCUUCCCCAUAUGCAAAUUUUUGGCUUAUAUUUUUAAAACCAUAUUAAUUUCAGUUUACUUUAUUAUAUAUGAAUAUAUAUUAUAUAAAAUUUAACUUGUUAUGAUUAUGAAACCUUAUAAACCCUAUUCAAUCAUGAAUAUAAUAGAUCAUAUUCAACAUUGUUAUAACUAUGGAACCAUUUUAUUAUUAGUGGUGGUUUAUAUUUGUGAAUCCGAUCAAUAUGUACAUAUGUAUAUAUAUGAAAAGUUUAUUUAAACUACUCGACUAAGUUCAUACACAGUCUGUUAAUCCAAUUUUUAAAUAUAGUAAACCAAUAGUAAAUAAUGUAAAACCUCUAUUUUUUUUUGAACACAAGCAGUAAAAAUUCUAUAAAUUAAUAAUGUUAGGACUUUGAAAUUUUAUUAAUUUAUAAAGUAUUAAUUUACAAAAAAAUUCUGUAGAUUUUUUAUUUUAAGAUAAGAAAAAUAUUUGAUUUUACUAUAUAGACAUUAACUGUUAUUUUUAAAAAUUUGACACUUAUAUUAAUUUAAUUGUAUUAUUUGGUGUAUAUAAUAUAUAUUGCAUAGAACUUAAAUGUGGUUUAAGAUAUAAUAUUACUAAAUCUCAUCAAAUAAUAUAAUAAUAGGUUCUUACAUAUAUAAAAUAUGUAUACAUAUAAAUUAUUAAUUUAUAAUUUUAGUAGGAUCAUAUAUUUAAAUAAAAUUUUCUAAAAAAAUAUUAUUUUAUCAAUUUGUGUCAAAUUUUGAACAGAUCUAAGUUGGGACCAGCGAAAUUGAAAUUAUUAAUUUAUCGAGUUUUAGUUUAUAAAAGUUCUACUGUAUGUAGUAUAGAUACGGUGGGAACGCUACUUCAAAACUUUAAAACAAAAUUAUUUGUUUAGAUACUGGUUUUGCUAAAAAGAAGUACGUGAGACGGCCGCUAAGUGACGUACCCGUGCAACCUAGACCAUACAUAAAGAAUAUCAACAAAACUCUAGAAUCAGUUAUCACUGGUAGAUGAAAAAAGCUCAAAAUAACUUGCUCUUCAUUUGCAAAAAAAAAACUCACUCUUAUCUUUUUAGAAGAAUUAUUGUUUCCAAAUUCUUUGAUUUCAGGUUUAGUAUGCAUCAGAGAUUGAAAGUUUAGUAUGCAUCAGGUUUUCACGUUCUGAAUAUAAGCUCAUGAAAAAAGAGCUUGUUCGUGCUUGACAUAACAUGGAGUAGAAGGAGUGCUGAUGAUGUUCGUGUUACAUCUGAGGAAUGACAGUUAUUGAAGACCCACGACGGGCAGGUAUGAACAAGCAAAUUCAUGUCCAUAAAUUUGCGGGUCUCGCGGGUGAAACCUAUGCUGCUUGCGGGUGGGUGGAUAGAGUCCAUGACGGGUCCGCAGAUUGUCCGCACAAAAUAAAUUAAUUUUCAGUCGGCUUCGUUCGGUGGAUCUUUUAUUCAUUCCAAUUCAGAAUCAGUCACCAUGGUUUUUCAGUUUGGACUUCUGCAUGUUAUCUCUUGAGUAGGUAGAAUGGUGAAGUUUGUUUGCAUGUUCUUCAAUGGAGGAAGCACAUGAAGAGGUCCUCUCGAAGCAUGAUGGUGGAAAGCAGUGGCGGACCUAGCCUUAAUUCUAAAUGCGGUCAAUAUACUGUUUAAGUGAAAAAUACAUGUAAAAAUGGUCAAGAUGGAUUGGAACCUAGAAUUUUUGGGGUUUGUUUGGUAGAAGUUACCAUCUGAGCUACUACUUCUAUAAGCAAUAUAAGCACAAAACACAUUUUAUUAAAUUUUUAGGUGCCAUUUGACACUUUUCUUUUCUUUGUGGAUCCGCCCCCUUGUGAAAAACUUGUUAUUUAGAAAGUAUUAGUAAAAAAUAGAUUUUUAAUGAUUUUAAGAAUAUAUAUAUAUAUAAAUAAUAUAGUGUUAUUGGCUUAAAUAUUUUCAUAUUCUUUCUAAAAUUUAUUGCUAUUGGUAUGAUGAUUCUAUAAUCCUAUACAAAUCUUUUGUUAUUUAAAAAGUUUAUAUUUUAAAGAUUCUACAAAUCUAUUAAAAUUAGUGUUAUUGGGAGUUGUAUUCUUAACAAUUAACUUAUGAAACAAUAUUUAAAGAAUACUACAUACUCCCUCUGUAUCAGUUUAACUAGUGUUUAAGGAUUUUGAUUUUGUUUCAAAAUAAGUGAUGUUUUCACAAUUCUAGGUGAAAUUUAAUGUCAUUUAAAAUUUUGACCAAUUAUAAAAAUACUAUAUCUUUUUCUUAUUGGUUGAAUUAGUUUUAUUUAAUGUUAUUUUAUGUAACCAAAACCAAAUACAUAAAAGUUUGUAUUUUCUUAAUAUAUGUGCAAAAACCUUAAACACCUCUUAAAAUGAUACAUAGGGAGUAUAUCCAACUUUACUGCAUGCUUUCCUUCAGUUUCUUGUCCAUCUUUCUGAGUUAAUUAUUAAAUAAAAACAAAACAUCAAUUAGUCUAUGCCUAGCAUCACUAUUAAACACGAAAUCAAUGAAACCGGUAAGUGCAAAAAUCAAAAUAUAAGCAAAAAUUAAACAGAUUCAAAGAUAAACUUGAGAAAAUAAAAAAAAUGUAAAACAAAAAAAUAUUAUAAACAAAAUUAGAUAGUUGUAGAAGAAGAACUGCACUCCAAAUAAAAUAAUAACAAAGAAUUGUGGGUUGAUCUGAAAUCAUAGUAAAAUAUUUCAAUGAUAACAUUGAGAAUAUCAAAGCACAACUAUGGUUAUUUUUAAGAGAUGUAUAAUAGCAUUAUGUAGUAAACAUGCAAUGCCUAGCUUGUAUGUACUGUUAGUUAUAUAUGAUUAAUUGAUGAACAAGAUUGGAGUCACUCUAGUACCUCCAUCUUGAGGGGGUGUAUAGGAGAUAUAUGAUUAGGGUCAUUAUUGUAAUUAGUUAAUACCUAAUGACUUCUGUAUUAUGUAUAAAUACUGUACUCAUACGUAUCAAUAAAGUAUUAAGCCUGUAUUCAUCGUAUUAUAAUAAAUUUACUUACUUUUACUUUCAUCUAUGACUGAUUUACAGGCUUUACUGUAGCCAUCUUUGCCUAAUUGCACCUUUGUUAACAAUCUGAUCUUUAUCAAUUUUCCAUCCAUUUUCCAAAAUUUUCUUCAUCUUUGAGUGAUUUUGUGUUGUUUUCUCUAUUUUUUUUUUUAAAUUCUCCGUACAGAUUAAUUUCACUGUGUUAUGUCUCUAUUUAUAACCUUCUUGGUUUCUCCAAAUGCGUUGCUUCACUUUGAAGCUUAUGCAUAACUAUUUUUGCAUUGUUGAACUUAAAACACUUUACUUCACGAUGAUUUACUAGUUAUCUUCCAGUAACCAGAACUAGUUGUCCGGCUCUGCUUAUUAGUGUUGCGGUACUGAUUGCCUCUGUCGGAGAAGAAGUACCAGGCAAAGUCCCUGGAUUUAACCCUCGAUAGGGCUUCCAAGAAAGCAAAAUACCAUGGAUCAAAAAUUAUACCAAAAGCAAAUAAAUUAGAAUACGAUCAAUUCAUGGUGUAGUCAUUUAUCAAAAACUUUUUAAAAAGUUAAAAAUGAUUACAUUGGUUAUGAGUUUAAUAUAACUCUAAGUUACUUACCUUUGUUGAAAUAAUAUGUCGCUAUCUCGCUGUAGAUUUCUUUGCCCGACUCUAUAAAUAUUGCUUUGUUAGCAAAUGUCUCUAACAAAAUCUCAACAUUCCUUCUUUGUUAUAUUGAUAUUUUUUUUUUCAAUUAUCUAUGUGUUUUCGUGAUUUUUUUCUUCUUGUAAUUACACAAUGUUGUCUCUAUUUAUAAUCUAAUUAGUUUCCUCAAAAUGUAUUGCUUAUUUUUGAAGUUAUACAUCAUACCAUCUUUUGUUUGGUUUAAUUAACAAUGUUUACUUUAUGAUAAAUUACGUACUAGUUUCUUAAUUUAAAAUAUAUGAAUACAAUUACACAUGUCUUACAUGUGUUUUGUUUGAAUUUUGAUUCAAAAUAUUUUCCGUUCGUCUAUCUUUACAUUACCAUUUAAUAUAAAAUCAAUAAAAGAGUUAAAUAUAAAAUUUAAAAAACUUAAGAAAAUUAAAAGCAAAAACAUAUAUAUAUAUAUAUAUAUAUAUAUAUUUAUUUAUUUAUAUUUAAAAGCAAAUACAAAUAUAGACAACACUGUGUAAUCCUAAUAAGGCAGAUAGAAUUGUCGGCUGUAAUAUAUUUAUGUAAUAUUUCUCAUAAUUUGUAUUAACAUAAUUAACCAGACAAAAAUGAAGUCUAUUACUUGAAAAUGAAGCAAUACAUUAAUGGAAAUUACUUAUGUUAUAAAUAGAUAGAUAAGUCUAUGAUAUAUAUAUAUAUAUAUAUUAAAAUAAAUAAGAAUUAUUGACUUAUAUUAUCAUAGAAAAAAUCUGAGUUUUAUAGAUUGGCUAAAAAAAUUUAUAUAUAGGUUUAUUAAAACUAACAUUAAAUUUUGUUGUUGUAAAUUUAACAAUGGAAAAAUGCAGUUAUAAAAAAAAACAGGUUCAAACUCUUUAGUUAACAACUAUAAUUUAGCAACUAUAAUUCAAACAGGUUAAAAGAGACUAAUUAACUUGGUUAGUGUAAACAUACGAAAUGAAAAGUAUAUUACUUUAAAUUGAAGCAAUACAUUAAUGGAAAUUUCUUAGGUUAUAAAUAGAUAGAUAAUAACUCAAAGAAAAAUAAACUACAAAGAGAAAAAUAAAAAAAAAGGUCAACAUGAGAAUGAACUUGUGGGAGCCUGUUAGAAAAGUUUUUUGUGCUAACAAAGAAGCUAUCUGUGUGGAGAGUCAACAUGCAUAUAGAAAUAUGAAGGAAUAAAUGGUAGUAGAGGAAAUAAAGAAGAUGGUGGAAAGAAGAAGGGAUGAAGUUGAAGCUUCAACUUCAGUAAAAACUACUUUCAAGAAUUAAGUUAAAGAAAUAAUAUAAUGCGUAUUAAGUAUGUGUGAUUAAUUGCUGUCUUUUUUUCUUUCUGUCUUAAUGAAAUACUAGAUUUUGACCCGCGCUUUUAAAGCGCGGGAUGUUUAUUGAUGAAAAAUUAUAUUAAAGAAGUUACUAAUUUUUGUAGAUUUGUAAGAAUUUUUUUCUAUUUAAAUUAGUGCUUUUAAACCAAAUCGAGACCCGCAUGUUAACCCAUUUGAUAUGUAAUCCAAUUUGGAUCUUAAUAAAUAUUCAUUAUUUUAAAACCUUAUAAAAUCUGAAAAUGUUAAGGCCUGAGGCUAACCAGUUAAACCGAUGGGUGACCGAUAUGUAAUCCAAUUUUAUUUUAUAUUUUUGACAGCACUUUGAUUUGAAUUUUUUUUUAAAAAAAAUUAAAAACUUAUUUAUUUUAACCUAAUUGUAUUUUUAUUAUCUGAUAACUACAAUUUGUUAUAAUUUGUUUUAGAUAUCUAUUUAUAUCUAUAAAAUAUAAUGAAAAACUAUUUUAAAAUUUUACUAUAUUUUUAAACAUGAUUUUUGUAUUUUAAUAUUAAUAUAUGUAUUUGUAUAUUAAAAUGAAAUAAAUUAUUGACCAAUGGCUCACCCGCGGUCAUCCUAAUAACCUAAUGACCAAAAAUAUUCCGGUUCAGUGUCGGGUUUAAAAACUUUAAUUUAACCAUAUUUUACUUUUAUAUUUUCUUAUAAUGUCAUUCAUUAAAUUUUAGGAAAAAGAUAUAUGAUUUAUAUACUAAAUCUUUGUAUUGAUUAUAUCCCAAAAGUUAAUAGAAUGUAUUGGCUGCCUCCAAUUAUAAUGGUAUAAUCCAGUAUUAGAGAUAAAUAAACAUUUAUAUUUUAUGGUUAACUAAUUUAGAGCCACGGUUUAGAUUUGAGCGGUGAAAUUUUGGAGCGGGAUGAAGUAUAGGAUGUUAAUAGAAUUGUGGUAAAAAAAAGGAUGUUAAUAGAUAAAUAAUAUAUAUUUAAAACAUUAAAUAAGAAUUUUAAACAUAGUUUAAAAAAGAAUUCUAAAAUUUCAAAAUAAAAUUUAUUUAUUUAUUUUAAAUAGUAUAAGGUUGUCAAUUUUGGUAUAACAUAUAGUUUGAAAAAAAAAAUUCACUUAGACACAAGUUAGCUCCAAUUUUGUGCUUCUAUUUUAAGAAUUAAUGAUUUUGACACCCAUUUCCAAAUAUGGAAUUAAUUAUUCUUUGUCGAAAAUUUUAAUUUUUAAUUAAAAUGUGUACAUACUAUAUAUUUAAUUUUUCAGUGUGCAUAAAUUUCUCUUGGCGACAUAUAAGUAAAAAAGUAUAUAAAUGUUGAAUUAUUUAUUAUUAUAUUGUUUUUAAACUGUUAUAUAUUAUAUUGUAAUUUUUUUGAUUAUAUGUUUUCAUAUAAUUUUAUCCCAUUCCAUCUAAUGAAAUUUACAAAACAUUGUUUUAAAAUGAGCUAUUGUUAGAAGUGGGUGCUGACAUAAUAAAAUUGUAAUGAAUAAUGAGGUAUUUAAUAUGCAGCAGAUUUAUAUAAGAGAAAUUCUUUUGUAUAGCUUUUUUUGUUUAUUUUCAGAAAAUAGCUAUUAAGGAGGAAAAUGACCAAAAGAAGAGUAAAUAUGCACUUAUAUCCCUAUAAUUAACUAAUUUAGACUUAUGGUUUAGAGUUAGAGGGUGGAAUUUCAAAUUUAAAAAAAAAACUAUAAAUUUUUCAAAAUAAAAAUUAUUAUUUUGAUCAUUUUAUUUUUUUGAAUAUUAUUUUUGUGACAAAAACUUAAAGUGGACUAUUUGAGAGAAUUUUCCUUUAUAUAACUUCUACAUAAAUUUAUGAUUAAAAGUAUUUUAAGUUGUGAUUUUUUUUUGUUGACCAAAAAAAAAGAACAUUAGUUAAACAGAACAAUUCAAGUGGAGACUUAUGAGACCCAUUAAUAAAAACUGAUAUAUAUAUAUAUAUAUGUAGUUUCCUAAAAAUAUCUCUAGACAUAAAUCUUAAUAACUAAAAUUAUUAAAAGAAAACAAAUACUAUAAUUAAAUGGUACACUUAUAAAUACUAAAGCAAAUGAAGAAGACCUAAAAAUGGUUUAUAUUUUAAUAGUAUAGAUAUUAGAUUUUGUUGUGAGCAGAUGAAGAAAAGUAAAAUAUUAGUGAAUGAUUUUCUAUUCUCCAACUUGAACCAUCCUCUCCAACCGAUUGAGAUAUGAUUUCUAACAAAUGAUAAGAAUGAUUGUAGGACUAUUAUCAAGAAAAUAGUAAGAAGUUUUUUUUUUUUGGAAUAAAUAUAGUAAGAAGUUAAUGAAUCCACUUACAUUCUUAUAUGCAAUUAAUAUAAUCUCUAACAUUUCACCAGAUUAUGCAGUGUCAGUUUCCGAAUAUGUAGAGGACGUUUUACUUGGAUUCACCAAAGCUAUAUUGAGUUCCCGGAGUUUGAUAAAAUUAAUUGGGGCAGGUUUAUAUUUAUAUGAAUUGUGUACGAUAUGGUUCCGAUUAGAGUUAAAUUAAAAUAGAUAUAUUUUCAAUUUAUUUGAAAGAUUUGCGGCUACAAAUCUUGGUAUAAUUUAUAUAACACAUGUCAAUUAUAUUAAAUGGUUUUCUGGUGCAAAUUUGAAAAUGUUUAGAAUAUAAUGAAAUUAGUAAUCUCUUUUAUUUCCAGUUCCAGAUUUUGUGUUGAUCACACAUCCACAAUC
rnacentral:lncRNA from 1 species